rnacentral:lncRNA from 1 species
GAAAGACAGAGAGGCAAGUGUAGCGGGUUGGGGGUGGUCAGCAGAGAGGGGUCGGUCCAUUCCAGCUUCCUGUGGACGCUGCUGGCUGAGGGUUGGAGGUGGGGCAGGAACAGACUGCACCUGGCACACAGGCCAGGCCCUCUCAAGCCCCUCCAUGGCAGGAACUGGUAUUGAUCCCAUUUUAAAGCUGUGAAAACUGAGGGGAAAAUAAAUGAAGUGACUUGCUUGAGGUCCCAGAGCUAGUGGCAAAAAGGAGCAAUAAAGUCCAUGAUGACCUGAGUCUGCUGGAUGUCAAGACCCUCAGUUCCAACGAUUCGACCUCAUUCAGCAUCAUCUGCUGUGCUGAUGUCCAGGGGCCAGAGCAGUUAUUGCAAAGGAAGAUUUCUCUAAGGCUCUUCCUAUUUUUCUGUUAGCCAUGUAAAGUUUAUAAACUUUUAUUAGGAUAGCAGUAAAUUGCAGAGCAGUGACAAUAUGUGAAAAAUGUCUUGCUUCACUCAAUUAAGUAUGUUCUGGAUGGUUACAGACUUCAUGUAGG